ACAAAAAUGGAUUUUGCUAGGGUGAGAGUCACUGGCGGAGCUAUGUUGAGGCCGAGGGGGCCGCUGCCCCCCCAGCCUUGGACCACACUCUGAAGGGAAAAAAAUUAGGUAGGGCUUAGAUGAGAUUUUUUUUAGCAAUUUACAACCCCAAACACUCAUGUUUUUGCAUUGGUCCCCAGCAAUACAACCCAUUAACGGUCGCGUAAAGAGCGUCCUCUGGGUUAUGCCACAUCGAUUCUACUGUCCCGAAGGAAAAAGUUAAAUGUGAUGGCCCAUCGAUCCCUGCACUUUUCAUCGCUCACACGCAAGCCUCCCCUCGUCUCCUCUCUCAUGAGCUCUCUCUCCCCCCACGACCCCUCGCUGCCGCCACCACCCAUGCCAGCCGAUUCCGGCGAGUCCCGGCGGUGGGUGACACACCAACGACUUCCCCUCGCGCCGCUCCUUUCUCCAUCCAUCCAAAUCGGUCGCUACAAGCCUUCCACGCUCGCUCCUGACCCUCAGCCGUGGCUAGGGUUUCGGGUGCGGCGUCCCCUUCGUUGCCGGCAAGGCUCAGGCAGCAUCCGGCGGCUCGUCUCAGCUUGGGGCAACUAGCGCUGGCGAGCAACCCUCCCCCGUUGCUAGGGUUUUGGCCUCCGCGUGCGGCUGCUCGAGCUCUGUCACUUCCUCCCAAGCGGGGCUCGUCUGGUUGAGCGGUGGCGGAGCAGGCCUGAGCGCGCGGCCACCAGAUCGGCACAGGCAUAGCAACAACGAGGAACAGUGGCGUUGGCGGAUGCCCUCACUCCCUUCUUAUGUCUUCUCUCUCUAUCCCUCGGCACAUCCUCUUUGAAUCGGGAACGUCUCUGCCGUCUUACUACUACACCUUAAUAUGUUUCGCAUGAUUUGCUUCAUGAAUUACUUUGAUGUGCCUACUUUGUGGAGAGACCUUUUUUUUCUUCCUAGAUGUUCAUCUUAGCUUACUACUGCCUGAUGCCUGAACUUUGAAUUCUAAUCGGCAACAAGUAGUUGUAUACAUGCAACAAGAAAAGAAAUCUCACUUGUAUAUUUUCGGUUUCAACACAUGCACCAUGGCAAUCUUUGGUAGAGUAGGAAAAAUGCUCAUAACUAUGUAUUAAUCAUAGUUUCUGACGAUUGUUUCUGACGAUUCGUUGGUCAUUUAUUUUGCAGAGAUCUGCUUGCAGUUCAUACUUCAUUGGUACCAUAGUUUAAUGUACUAUCUAUCAUGUAUGUAUAUGAUGACUCCUUUUAUCCUUGAAGGCAUUGGAGUUCUUAAAGGGAAAUGUUAAUGAUGGUGUAUGAAAUGGUAUGUCGAAAGGUGUGCUUGUUUGGGCAUUAUUAUCCCUAACUGAAGUUCUGUUGUGUUGUUAUAUUCAAGAGUACAAUUCUUUGCUUCCAGUUUCUUGAAGGUAGCCAUAUUCUGUUACUUAUUCCCUGAUGAUUUUAAAGGUUAUGUGUACUAUCAAACUGAAUGUGACAACACUGGCUUAUUCGUAGUUCUCUUUUCUUUGCCUAGAAUUUAUGAUUUAUGGCUGAUGUCAAUUCCAUCUUUUUAGGUGCUUGUCAAAUAUAGGUGGAAAGCUUGACAUGGAGGAGCCACAGAGGUUUGCAGAAUAUGUUUCUAGGUUGGCCCUUGAGAGGGAGACUGAAGCAAACUCCAACAUGUUUCAGGUGCACGUCCUUUGUCCCUUGUGGCCGUCUCCCUAGCAAACCUGGAGCAUUGUACACUUUGGUAUAUGUGGCAUCUUUGAAGACUUUCUUGUCACCGUCCCUCCCCGGUGAUCUUGAGGGACAAAUCAGGGUCAGCUAUAAAAUCGAGAAGAAGACAGGGAGGAGUGAUGGGUCUGCACAUACCUAUAAGAAGAUGGCCUGAGGUGAUUUGCUUCUGUUUUCAUGAUAUACAUGUGUAGGCUCUGUUGCUACAAAAUUUUGUUGAUGCCGUGUUAUAAAUUUCCGUUCUUGUAAUUUAUCUCAUCUAAUGAUCUCGAAUCUAGGUGAGAGUUUGGUACUGCAAUUUGGUUACUACGACCAGUAGCAUUUUCUUAUAUGGAAUUAACAUGUCGUAGUUUGUCAAUAUCAUCUGAAUUGGACCAUCUGACAUUUACAUCAAGGAGAACAACAAAAUGCUUAGAGGUAUAGAUUUCUGUUCGUUUAGAUUUCAGCACAUAGUAUUUUAGUUUUUUGCACAUCUCUUUCAUGUUGUGACGUUGUUUCAUUAGUGUUGAUUAUAAGUUUGCUGAUUUUGCGCCCGGCACAUUUGGAGGAUCAUGAGACUGGCACCAUGGUUUUAGUUGGAACAUAUAAAAGAUUGUCAGAAAACCUAAAGAUAAUCAUAUCAUAACCUGCAUUUUCUAAGUAAGAAAAUAAGGAUGCACUGAUUCUCCAUAAGCUCAUCAAACGACUUGUGCAAGACGAUACAAAUGGGUGGAAAUAGUAACUCAGAAAGUCGAACCAAAUAAUUAAAACCAGUGAGGUACUUUGUUCAUUUUUGUAUGGAAACUUUUAAAAGAUAUCAUAACCAGCAUACAAUGGGUGGAAAUAGUAGGUCAGAAAGCCAAACCAAAUAAUUAAAACCGGUGAGGUACUCUGUUCAUGUUUUUUUAUGAAAACCUUUAAAAGAUGCCAUUACCAGCAUGUGGAUUUGCAUUUCUUUUUAACUGUCCAGCUCUUAACAAUUGUUGCUUUGUAGUGGCCAUAGAUGAAAACUACUUUUAGUCAGAUUUCCUAUUGCACACUGAAUUAGUUCCAUGUAUGCGUUUACACCUCUUUUCAACUAUGUGAUACUGUAGAAAUCAAGAACCGUAACAAUUCACCAUUUAGAUACUUCAUAUCUCACUUGCAAAUAUGUUCCCUUCUUUGUACCCUAUAUAUUAGAUAUUUUUUAAUAAUUUUAGGGUCAUCCUAAUUAUUUCAAAUUUUAGGCCAUUCUAAACUAUUUGGAAUAGUUUGCCAGCAUUGCUGGAGACAAAUCCAAUAUGCAUCAGUUACUGUAAUAUUUCUGGAACCAUGUUAUCACCACAUAUUUUAACUGAAAUGAAUGUGAUUAAAUUCAUAUCCUUGUUAAGAUAAGGAUAGGUACAAGUGGUAUGAUUAUGGGAGUACUUAAUAAAUUAACAAAAAUAAUGUAUUAGACAAUUCCUUUGAACCUUCAAAAGGAUGAAUUCGAUUACCGCAUUCAAAAGAUAGCUAAAUGAUUCAGUUUAGUAACUCUACAUGUAGCAUGUUCUGCAAUAACAGGGAGAUAUUUGAUUGUGAUCAAUCCUGCAGCUAAUUGUCACAGGAUUCAUUGUCUGCUUGGAUUCCUUUCUGUCUUUGCUCAUCAUUAUGCCUGCAAGAAUUGUGAUGACUGUUUGGCGAGCUGAAAACUAGGUGGGUUCACGAUGAUGCCGUAAACUUGAUGAUUUACACAUAGAUUAUGUGCAUUGCUAUGGAGUAUUAUUUUGUUAUGUACAGAUUAGUCAGGGUGUGUACUGCUAUGGGAGAGGAGCUCCCAACUCACGCCCUAGAGUGUGUGGAGGAAGCAGGGGGCGGUGGCCUUGGAGAGAGGGUUGGGCGUUUGCGACAGCGGAGGAGGAGCCACGCUUGCUGGCUGCAACAACUGCUCAGAGUGGAGGUGGAGCGAAUCAGCGGGUUCACGCAAGGCCUGGCCGAGGGCAGCGAGUUUAGGGGCAGCCGUGCCUUGCAUACUUCCAGGGUAACUUGUGCUAGCUUUUAGAUUAUUCAUCUUCGUUUUACCCUGUGAAUGAUCUACUCGGAUUAGUUACGAAAGGACACAGCUCAGCUGCUCUAAUCUUGUUUUUUAAUAGUUGUCGUAGAUCUCUUAAGAUUCAUUUUCUUCGGUGUCAACUUUUUGCGUUGUAAGAAACCAUUGCAUAAACACGUGUCAUGCAUGGCCCAAACAGGAAAGUGAAAGGGGCGCUAUCCCAUCUGACACCGCCGAGCUUCCGCUCAGGCGGCACGCCACGGGCGCGCCCCAACCACUAGUUUGUACCAAGCUCCGCCACUGGUGAGAGUGAGUCAUAGAUCUAUUGGCAAGAUGGCUUUAGAUGCUCGUCACUGUCUGUCCUUCGCGUGUACGCCAGCGUAAUCUACUUUGGUCUUCAACUUUCCCGUGCACUAAACAGGUAGGUUUUGGCCUUAUCACGGCGAUUCACAUGGCGUUAGGAUUAGUCUUUGCACUGUUUCUCCUCGAUGAAGAGCAGACUUGCAAGCAUAGCAAAGACAAUCCUGACUUGUUCCGCAAAAA